GCGCGAAUCAGCGAUAUGUUAAAGAACCUCGCUUUUAUGCGGAUUGUGGCUAGACGUUCAUCCACCGGAGUGAAUGCCAGGAUUCGACGACGGAGUCUCUCUCCCACCACGAAUCCCACACCGAAUUUGCGCUCCUUUAUACGGCCGCUGUAGUAGAUGUCACAUGGACCUACCUUCUUCCGUCCUUGUCCCGUUCAUCGCAUUUCUUGGAUGGGGCUGGGGUAAAUCCUAGACCGAUUUCAACUAUUUUUGCCACCCAGCUACAUUACGUUCUAUAAUUUACGUUUACUUAAUAUUGCUAAGAUAUCUCACAUAUUUACCGAUAUAUGCGGAAUAAAGCCCACCUUAUACGUGUGUGCACAGCAAAGGAAGAACCGUUCAAAAAUCGCCGACGUGGCCGCUGUUCAUUUCAAAAUAAAAUUUUUAGUGAAUGGAUUUAUACGUGUGUGCACAGCAAAGGAAGAGCAAGGAGGUGACGGUGGAAUUGGUGGAGGUUUUUGGAUUUAGCAUUGGUGCAAUAUAGUAUAACAACAACGCAGAAAACAAUGGAAAAUAACAUGAUAUAGAAAACACAAAUCUUCUUCUGCUUACGCGGUUAUAGCCCAGUCCACAACAGCGCGCCACGCAUCUCUUCUUUUCGCAGUUUGGCGCCAAUUGGUAAUACCCAGUGAAGACAGGACCUUCUCCACCUGGUCCUUCCAUCGGAGUGGAGGUAUCCCUCUUCCUCGGCUUCCACCAGCGGGUACUGCAUCGAAAACUUUCAGAGCUGGGACACUUUCGUCCAUUCGAACAACAUGACCCAGCCAGCGUAGCCGCUGUAUUUUUAUUCUCUGAACUAUGCCUAUGUCGUCGAACAACAUAUACAGCUCAUCAUUUCAUCUUUUACGGUAUUCGCCGUUGCCAAUGUUUAAGGGACCAUAAAUCUUCCGCAAAACCUUUCUCUCGAAAACUCCUAGUGCCGUUUCAUCGGAUGUUGACACCGUCCACGCUUCUGCACCAUAAAGUAGGACGGGAAUGAUGAGGGCCUUGUAGAGUUUCGUUUUUGUUCGUCGAAAGAGGACUUUACUUUUCAAUUGCCUACUCAGACCAUAAACACAAAUACUUUGCACAAAUGGAGGAUUACAAUAGCUACAACUUUUCUUAGGUAUGAUAAACAAGACAACAACAAAUCCCAUCGGACAUUUAGAUUAGCAGUUGCACAACCUCUUUCCGACGAGCUGAACCUUUUUAUGAUGUACAUAUGGGAUAGGAUUAUGUGGAAUUGACAUCAAACAAUAUUGGUUCAUUAGUUUCGUUGGAUCCUUACAGGAUAGUUAUAAGGAAAUCGUUCGCGUUUAGUAUUAAUUUAUUCAUUUGCUAAUUCAUAAUUUAGAUGUAAAAUAUUAUUAAAUUAUACAAAUGAAUGUUCGAAUACUAAUAACAUUCGUAGUAAUGGAAUUUUAUUUGAAUUGUAUAACAACAACUACAAAAAAUAAAAAUGUAAUA